rnacentral:rRNA from 1 species
AACGAACGCUGGCGGCAGGCCUAACACAUGCAAGUCGAACGCCCUAGCAAUAGGGAGUGGCAGACGGGUGAGUAACACGUGGGAACCUUCCCUAUAGUACGGAAUAUACCAGGGAAACUUGGAGCAAUACCGUAUACGCCCGAGAGGGGAAAGAUUUAUCGCUAUAGGAUGGGCCCGCGUAGGAUUAGCUAGUUGGUGAGGUAAUGGCUCACCAAGGCGACGAUCCUUAGCUGGUUUGAGAGAACGACCAGCCACACUGGGACUGAGACACGGCCCAGACUCCUACGGGAGGCAGCAGUGGGGAAGUAUUGGACAAUGGGCGCAAGCCUGAUCCAGCCAUGCCGCGUGAGUGAUGAAGGCCUUAGGGUUGUAAAGCUCUUUUGCCGGGGACGAUAAUGACGGUACCCGAGAAUAAGUCCCGGCUAACUUCGUGCCAGCCGCCGCAGUAAC